rnacentral:lncRNA from 1 species
UUCUUCACAGACCUCCACCCCUUUUUUCCAUCCUUCAUCAUCAAAGACCUAAGUAGCAAUCUCUAUUCUCCAAAACGCUGGUGAAAUCCCUACUCAUUCAACAGCCUUAACUGGCGAGCGGAUCGAACAUAUCCCGUCAAAAAAAACACAGAAAACGAACAUAGAACGAAACAAAGGCGUCGGAGUUCGGAUGAACUGUCCAUCCCGGCGUCUUCUUCUGACCUCUCGUCUUCAUUGUGUUUCGAUCUUCAGGGGGUAGAAACAGAGUCCAAUUUUAGGUUCAUGUUGGAGUUUUUUCUGAGUUUUCUGGCACUGUUGAGGUUCGGAAUCCCAUUUUGUAGAGAAGUUGUUCCCGUCGAGGGUCAGUAACUUCUCCGGUCUGGUCUGGGUCGAGUCGACCAGCUUGCCGUUAGCGUCGAGGUCGUCGUUGAGGUUCCAGCAAGCCAUUUGGUUUCUGUUCAUGGUUCUCGUCUGCAUGAUGAUGUGAGAAUUGUUGUGGUCGUAAAAGUCAAUCUUCUUUCAGAUUAUAUGUAAGUGUUCGAAUUCGAAACCCUUUUUUUGUUGAAAUUGUUUUACAUGUUUUUAUUAGCUAUUUCAUUAAUACUUCUUCUUCUGUUUUGUUUAGCGAGUUCUUUCGUGAGAUUUGCAUAUCUUUGGUCCCAUGUUACUCUAGAUUUGUGAGCAUGGUUGUUUAUUUGGUCCUUUA